UACAGAGGGGGCAAGCGUUAUUCGGAAUUAUUGGGCGUAAAGGGCGCGUAGGCGGCUUGGCAAGUGGAUGGUGAAAUCCCUCGGCUUAACCGAGGAACUGCCGUCCAAACUGCUUCGCUUGAGACCGGGAGAGGUGAGUGGAAUUCCCAGUGUAGCGGUGAAAUGCGUAGAUAUUGGGAGGAACACCAGUGGCGAAGGCGGCAUCCUGGACCGGCAUUGACGCUGAGGAGCGAAAGCCAGGGGAGCAAACGGG
rnacentral:rRNA from 1 species